rnacentral:rRNA from 1 species
GAUGAACGCUAGCUACAGGCUUAACACAUGCAAGUCGAGGGGUCUUGACGGAGCUUGCUCUUGAUAGACGACCGGCGCACGGGUGAGUAACGCGUAUCCAACCUGCCCUUCAUAUUGGGAUAGCCUUCCGAAAGGGAGAUUAAUACCGAAUAACAUAUCAAGAUUGCAUGAUAUUGAUAUGAAAGAUCCGUCGAUGAAGGAUGGGGAUGCGUUUCAUUAGGUAGUAGGCGGGGUAACGGCCCACCUAGCCAACGAUGAAUAGGGGUUCUGAGAGGAAGGUCCCCCACACUGGAACUGAGACACGGUCCAGACUUCUACGGGAGGCAGCAGUGAGGAAUAUUGGUCAAUGGGCGCAAGCCUGAACCAGCCAAGUAGCGUGAAGGAUGACUGCCCUAUGGGUUGUAAACUUCUUUUUUACGGGAACAAAUGUUGCUACGUGUAGCAAUUUGCGUGUACCGUACGAAUAAGCAUCGGCUAACUCCGUGCCAGCCGCCGCCGUAAUAC